ensembl:lncRNA
GUUUAAAUCAUCACGCACAGUUUUUUCCUGUGCUUCCUCAUGCUGGUAGUGUCUUUCCAUUUCCACUCUUUUCAAGGGCGCCAUUCAAUUUGUCUUGCCUUCCUUCCUCUCCACAUCAGCCCAGCACACCAAGAAAUGGAAGAUGGAGCAUGAGCACUUCUAGUAUGUGCUUUACUUCCUCAGGAUGGAGAGGACAGAAGACCCUAGAAGGUUGGCAUCCCAGUUCCAUGAAAGGCAACUCUACCAGGUUGCUUGCCAAGGCCCCGUGGCCCCUACCACCCUCCCUGACAUUCAUAGCAGCAGCCCCUUCCCUCUUUGCCUUGGAGACAGUGGGAUCACCAAACUUUACAAAGAAGAGGUCACUCGAGGCUGAACACUGUCCCCGUCACUGCUGCACAUGUUUCUCCUGCAAGUCUGCGAUGGAGCACUGUUUUCCUUUACAUGGAUAAGCAUCUCUUCCUCGAAACUAAGGAUUAAUUAUUGACCUGCUCUGCUCACCUUGUGAUCACUCACCUGCUAACCACCAACCUGCUGUGCCAGCUCAGCAUCUCAAGACAGUAGUAAAAGAGAUAUUCCUGUCGUAUGUGAUGUAUGCUCUUUGUUCCAAGACUGCAUAUAACCACUCUGUACACCCCACUUCUUUGGUGCCCUUCCUUCCUCGGGGAAGGAAGGCCCCAGGCUAGAGUCCUCAAACCUGGCUCAUAAUAAACUCACCCCA